rnacentral:lncRNA from 13 species
UUCCUGUGGACUUAUAUAUUUUCCUCUUUACAGAAACUGGGCAUACAGUCUUCAGUCUCAUGAAACAUGCAGCCAAAGUUUAAGUUGGGUUGAAGUUGGAGGGAGCCUAGAACCUACUUCUGGACUUGACAGGCCUGGCUCUUCCAGAUGUCACAGGAAUUACAGAGAACUACAAAC